rnacentral:lncRNA from 1 species
CGGCACCGCUCGCGCGGGGUCUGGAGAGUCGGAGACAGCAGCGGCACCCGCCUCCCCGUCCGGGCACCCUCGGGCUGCUGCCGCUCCCGGGAACACCGGCAGCCUGGGGGAUGCCGCGAGGGGUUUCGCUCCCAGGGAGCAAGGAGAAUGUCACCUGUCCCUGGAGGACGACGUUCAGCACAGAGCCUUGCUCCAGCCCUUGGAAGGGUUCUGCUCUCGCGGCCCCCAUCGCCUCCCCGAGCCGCCAGCCCGAGGAGCUCGCCGCCUGCCCGGCCCGGCGAGGGCCCCGUCUUCGCCAGGUCAGACUUCAAAACCGGACACGGUGAUUGCACUAAGCAGGGCUCGUCCCUCGUCCCCUCGGCCUCCGCUGCAGCAUCGCUCUCCUGUUUUGCAUCUUAGGCGCCUGCAUGGCGUGUUUCUCCUCUCGCUGCGAAGGGCACGGGCACCUCUUGCCAUGCCCUCCCCUGCCGCCGGCACCUAC